rnacentral:rRNA from 1 species
CAGUCGCCACGGUAAUACGGAGGGGGCUAGCGUUGUUCGGAAUUACUGGGCGUAAAGCGUACGUAGGCGGCUUUGUAAGUUAGAGGUGAAAGCCCGGGGCUCAACCCCGGAAUUGCCUUUAAGACUGCAUCGCUUGAAUCGCGGAGAGGUGAGUGGAAUUCCGAGUGUAGAGGUGAAAUUCGUAGAGAUCGGGAGGAACAUCAGUGGCGAAGGCGGCCAUCUGGGACAACACUGACGCUGAGGCACGAAAGCGUGGGGAGCAAACAGGAUUAGAUACCCCCGUAGUCCCUGUCUCUUAUAC